rnacentral:rRNA from 1 species
AUUGAACGCUGGCGGCAGGCUUAACACAUGCAAGUCGAGCGGGGUGAUGGUGCUUGCACUAUCACUUAGCGGCGGACGGGUGAGUAAUGCUUAGGAAUCUGCCUAUUAGUGGGGGACAACAUCUCGAAAGGGAUGCUAAUACCGCAUACGUCCUACGGGAGAAAGCAGGGGAUCACUUGUGACCUUGCGCUAAUAGAUGAGCCUAAGUCGGGUUAGCUAGUUGGAGGGGUAAAGGCCUACCAAGGCGACGAUCUGUAGCGGGUCUGAGAGGAUGCUCCGCCACACUGGGACGUAGACACGGCCCAGACUCCUCUGGGAGGCAGCAGUGGGGAAUCUUGGACAAUUGGGGGCACCCUGGUCCAGCCAGGCCGCGUGUGUGAAGAAGGACUUAUGGUUGUAAAGCACUUUAAGCGAGGAAGAGGCUCUUUUGGUUAAUACCCAAGAUGAGUGGACGUUACUCGCAGAAUAAGCACCGGCUAACUCUGUGCCAGCAGCCGCAGUAA